rnacentral:rRNA from 1 species
AUUGAACGCUGGCGGCAUGCCUUACACAUGCAAGUCGAACGGCAGCACGGGUGCUUGCACCUGGUGGCGAGUGGCGAACGGGUGAGUAAUACAUCGGAACGUACCUUAUCGUGGGGGAUAACGCAGCGAAAGUUGCGCUAAUAACGCAUACGCCCUGAGGGGGAAGGGGGGGGACCGCAAGGCCUCGCGCGAUUGGAGCGGCCGAUGUCUGAUUAGAUUGUUGGUGAGGAAAAAGCGAACCAAGGCGAUGACCAGUAGCUGGUCUGAGAGGACGAUCAGCCACACUGGGACGGAGACACGGCCCAGACUCCUACGGGAGGAAGCAGUGGGGAAUUUUGGACAAUGGGGGCAACCCUGAUCCAGCAAUGCCGCGUGAGUGAAGAAGGCCUUCGGGUUGUAAAGCUCUUUUGUCAGGGAAGAAACAGCAGCUCUAACACAGUCUGCGAAUGACGGUACCUGAAGAAUAAGCACCGGCUAACUACGUGCCAGCCGCCGCCGUAA